CCCUUAGAUGGUCUGGGCGGCACGCGCGCUACAAUGAUGCAUUCAAAAAGUCUUCUGACCUUAGAAGGUUGGGUAUUCUCCAAAGUGCAUCGUGAUGGGAAUAGUUUAUUGCAAUUUUUAAUCUUGAACGAGGAAUUCCUAGUAAGUACAGGUCACCAACUUGUGUUGAUUACGUCCCUGCCCUUUGUACACACCGCCCGUCGCUCCUACUGAUUGAGUGUCUCGGUGAAUUCUUUGAUCUUCUGUCGAUUCAGUUCACUGAUCCGACGGUGGAAAGUUGAAUGAACUUCGUCACUUAGAGGAAGGAGAAGUCGUAACA
rnacentral:rRNA from 1 species